rnacentral:rRNA from 1 species
CCUUAUUGGAGAGUUUGAUCCUGGCUCAGGACGAACGCUGGCGGCGUGCCUAAUACAUGCAAGUCGAGCGGAGUAUUUUUGAGAGCUUGCUCUCAAAAAUACUUAGCGGCGGACGGGUGAGUAACACGUAGGCAACCUGCC